rnacentral:lncRNA from 1 species
AUUACAAAUGCCUUGAUCUCACCGAUAGCCAAACCAUGAUACUACUCCACACUGCCCCCUAGCUCUACAAGAGAGAUCAGUUUAAAAGUAACACGGUUUGAGAUGACAACCUCAAGAAAGUGUCAGUCACUCAUAGCUCUACUUAAGUAAUUCUUAGAUACUAUAUACUAAUAGAUCAGAUCAGAUCAGUCCUAUUUACUAAUAAGUAACAGCUGACAAAUCUUUCAACUAACACUGAUAAGAGCU